GACGAACGCUGGCGGCGUGCUUAACACAUGCAAGUCGAGCGGUAAGGCCCUUUCGGGGGUACACGAGCGGCGAACGGGUGAGUAACACGUGGGUGACCUGCCCUCAGCUCUGGGAUAAGCCUGGGAAACCGGGUCUAAUACUGGAUAUGACUCCAUGACGCAUGUUGUGGGGUGGAAAGCCUUGUGCGGCUGAGGAUGGGCCCGCGGCCUAUCAGCUUGUUGGUGGGGUGAUGGCCUACCAAGGCGACGACGGUAGCC
rnacentral:rRNA from 1 species